GACGUAGCUUGCCAGACGGAUCCACCAGAGAAACGUACAUAUGGCACGCAACUUUCUGUGAAAACACUGCGACCUCACUACAAAAGUACAGCCACACAGACAGCUGUGCCCUGCAAUGAUGUCGGGGUUGGGGUUGAUGUCAUCUGUGGCCUUCAAAGCAUCACAGCCAUUCCUAACAUCGACCCCAAUGAAGAGACCUGGUAAGAGACCUCGCUUGGAGGAGGAAGAGGAACACCCAAGUUCUUCAAGUUUGGACUUAGGAGAGCCACAUGAUUCUACCUAUGAUCCUGAUGACUCGGUCACAGUCUUGACUGACUCAGCAGAUGUGACAAUGGAAUCUGGCAACCCUGUUCAUAAGACACCCACAUAUAUUGUAUAUGAAAACUGCCUCCUGGAGCUGUUUGAGAGGUGUCCUGUGUGUCGGCGGGUGUCAGAUGUGAAAACAAGAAGGGUUGGGACAUUCCUCUCUGUAGAACAAAAGUGCCCAUACUGUGAGUUCUACAGAAAAUGGAAUAGUCAGCCUCUUCUUGGUAGCACUCCUGUUGGAAACAUCCAACUCUCAGCUGCAGUGUAUGCCACUGGUGCAUCUUUCUUCAAACUGGAGAAGAUCUUCCGGGCAAUGCAGCUGAGUUUGUUUCAUUAUGACACAAGAUGUGGGGAAGCUGAGCCCUCACUACCAGACCUCGUCGUUGGAGUCGUUCCACAGCGUCAUUCUGCGUUUUGCACCCAAAAACGUUUUGUUUCCUUUUCUGGGAAUGUUAUGCAGACUGUACCUGGCAGCCCUGCAUUUCAAUGAAAAUGCUGUCCGUCCCCAAGCAACAAGUUCCACUGGUGAGCCGCUAUUUAAAGUGAGCUACCCAAAGUACAAAAAGGGCGAGUGCACGGCAAAUAUGGUGAAAGCAGAGGCAACCUUCCAUUACGUGGACAACCUGUUGGACCUCAUCUUUCACAAGGUUUUUCAGGACCCGGCCCCAUAUGUGACUGAGGUGCUGAAGAUCCCAAUACCUGCGGAUCUCUCUGCCAACUAUGAGAAACCUGACAAGCAGGAAGUUGUAGACAGAUAUGUGUCGAGGGACAGUGAAGGGCAGGUCUGAACCCCGUAUACCUUCCCUGAGCAUCAGGGAACACUCUGCGGAUCUUGAGAACCACGCAGGAGGGCAGGACCAUCCUGACACUCUGGCCCACGUAGCCCCAACACCAGCUAACAAAGCUUCGGUACGCCAAAUACCUGUAAUGGCUGAGCAAAGUUUACAUUUUAGUUAGAGAAUCAAAGUUGACACACAAAUAUAAAGUGUUCCUUUUUUUAAAGUAUGGCUACUGAUGGCACAAAGUGUGUUUUUGUAAUCUAUGUUUUUGU